GAUGAACGCUGGCGGCGUGCCUAAUACAUGCAAGUCGAGCGAACGGACGAGAAGCUUGCUUCUCUGAUGUUAGCGGCGGACGGGUGAGUAACACGUGGAUAACCUACCUAUAAGACUGGGAUAACUUCGGGAAACCGGAGCUAAUACCGGAUGAUAUUUUGAACCGCAUGGUUCAAAAGUGAAAGACGGUCUUGCUGUCACUUAUAGAUGGAUCCGCGCUGCAUUAGCUAGUUGGUAAGGUAACGGCUUACCAAGGCAACGAUGCAUAGCCGACCUGAGAGGGUGGUCGGCCACACUGGAGCUGAGACACGGUCCAGACUCCUACGGGAGGCAGCAGUAGGGAAUCUUCCGCAAUGGGCGAAAGCCUGACGGAGCAACGCCGCGUGAGUGAUGAAGGUCUUCGGAUCGUAAAGCUCUGUUAUUAGGGAAGAACAUAUGUGUAAGUAACUGUGCACAUCUUGACGGUACCUAAUCAGAAAGCCACGGCUAACUACGUG
rnacentral:rRNA from 1 species